CUUUUCCGCUCCCAGUCUUUCCUCAGCCGCCGCCGAUGAUGUCUCCGGCGCCGCAACGGAACCUGCAACGCGGCCGUGCUUCCGUCCUCUUAGACGGCGGCGGUGCCCGUGGCUGCAGCUCAAUAUCCGGUGUGCCCCGCCCGGCCAUUUUCGUCGAGCUUCUGAUUGGAAUUAGGGGCCCCGAUUCGGCGCGCUUGCUUUCACUAGAUCCUGCUUGUUCUCCCUGUUGUUAACAUCCGCUUGAAGCUCUUCGCUUUGUCUCCCGCUAGUCUCGAUCUAGCCGCGUGUUAGCUCAGCUCGGCUUAGGCGAUGUGUAAUCGUGUUCCGAAUGGAGAUGAUGAUUGUUCAGGUAACUAUCAAACUUGUCUACAAAAUCAGUCUCAAGUUCAGUUGCGAGCUUUGGCGUUUGAGGUUCUGUUAGGUUCAGGUGUACCUUCUUUCCUCUACCCUUCAUGAUGGAUUCAAGGAUGCACAAUGCACAUUCAUUUUAAUAUGCUGUAUCGAUUACAAAACUUGCUAUCACUGAACCUGAGGAUCGUUAUGCUUUAGUGUUUUUCGCUUGGAUAAUUUAGCUAGAAUCCAAUCCUGGCAACUUUAGUUUGGUGACUUUUUCUUCGAUGCCACUGAAUAGUUUGGUGAGCUGUGCUGUUUUGACCCUCGUCAUGUAAUGCAAUAAGUCAGCGAACAGUACUUUCAGCCAUUCAAUAGUGUUUCUCUCACAA